GAUGAACCCUAGCUACAGGCUUAACACAUGCAAGUCGAGGGGUAGCAGGGUAGCAAUACCGCUGACGACCGGCGCACGGGUGAGUAACACGUAUCCAACCUACCGUUUACUCGGGGAUAGCCUUUCGAAAGAAAGAUUAAUACCCGAUAGUAUAAAGAGUUCGCAUGUUCUCUUUAUUAAAGGAUUCCGGUAAAUGAUGGGGAUGCGUUCCAUUAGAUUGUUGGCGGGGUAACGGCCCACCAAGUCUUCGAUGGAUAGGGGUUCUGAGAGGAAGGUCCCCCACAUUGGAACUGAGACACGGUCCAAACUCCUGCGGGAGGCAGCAGUGAGGAAUAUUGGUCAAUGGGCGUUAGCCUGAACCAGCCAAGUAGCGUGAGGGAUGACUGCCCUAUGGGUUGUAAACUUCUUUUAUAAGGGAAUAAAACGGGGAACGUGUUCCCCUUUGCAUGUACCUUACGAAUAAGGAUCGGCUAACUCCGUGCCAGCCGCCGCGGUAA
rnacentral:rRNA from 1 species